CUCCAAGGCUGAACACUCUCCUGUGACCGAUAGCGAACCAGUACCGUGAGGGAAAGGUGAAAAGCACCCCGAGAGGGGAGUGAAACAGUACCUGAAACCGUGCGCCUACAAGCAGUCGGAGCCCCCGAGCGGGGUGACGGCGUGCCUUUUGUAGAAUGAGCCAGCGAGUUGCGGUAUGCGGCGAGGUUAAGGUUUGAACCGAGCCGCAGUGAAAGCGAGCCUUUAAGAUGGCGAUAGAGUCGCAUGCUGCAGACGCGAAGCCGGGUGAGCUAUCCAUGGGCAGGCUGAAGCGGGGGUAAGACCCCGUGGAGGGCCGAACCCACUUCGGUUGAAAACGGAGGGGAUGACCCGUGGAUAGGGGUGAAAGGCCAAUCAAACCCGGAGAUAUCUCGUUCUCCCCGAAAUAGCUUUAGGGCUAGCCUCGGCCGUUCUCCGACGGCGGUAGAGCACUGGAUCGUCGAGGGGGCUUCACCGCCUACCGACACGAACCAAACUCCGAAUGCCGCCGGAUCAGAGGCCGGGAGUCAGAACAUGUGGGCUAAGCUGUGUGUUCGAGAGGGAAACAGCCCAGACCGCCCGCUAAGGUCCCCAAAUCCAUGCUGAGUGGCAAAGGAUGUGCGUUUGCCUAGACAACCAGGAUGUUGGCUUAGAAGCAGCCAUGCAUUUAAAGAGUGCGUAACAGCUCACUGGUCAAGUGGACAUGCGCCGACAAUUCACGGGGCUAAGCAUGGUACCGAAGCGGCGGACUAAUCUAUAUUAGUGGUAGGGGAGCUUUCCCCGCAGCGGAGAAGCCGAGAGGGCGACCCUCGGUGGAGCGCGGGGAAGUGAGAAUGCUGGCAUGAGUAACGAGAGCGGCGCGAGAAACGCCGCCGCCGUAAGCCUAAGGGUUCCUGGGCAAGGCUAAUCCUCCCAGGGUCAGUCGGGAGCUAAGGCGAGGCCGAGAGGCGUAGCCGAUGCGCAACAGGCGGACAUUCCUGUACCGCCUGCGGACCGCUAUCACCGACGGGGUGACGGAGAAGGGUAGCCGAGCGGGGUUCUGGACGUCCCCGUGAAAGCGCGUAGGGAGCAUCGCAUGGAAAUCAGCGGCGCAUAUAUCCUGAGACGCGAGACGAAAGCUUAUGCUGAAGUCGGCGAGCCCAUGCUUCCGAGAAAAACCUCUAGGAAGGGACGCAGGCGCCCGUACCAAAACCGACACAGGUGGGCAGGUAGAGCAUACCGAGGCGAUCGGGAGAAACAUGGUUAAGGAACUCGGCAUACUGACUCCGUAACUUCGGGAGAAGGAGUGCCCCUGGCGGUGACGGGACUAGCUCCCCGAGCGGCCGGGGGUCGCAGCGAAACGGCCCAAGCGACUGUUUAUCAAAAACACAGGACUCUGCAAAGCCGUAAGGCGACGUAUAGGGUCUGACGCCUGCCCGGUGCUGGAAGGUUACGCGGAUGGGUCAGCCGCAAGGCGAAGCUCUGAAGCCAAGCCCCAGUAAACGGCGGCCGUAACUAUAACGGUCCUAAGGUAGCGAAAUUCCUUGUCGGGUAAGUUCCGACCUGCACGAAUGG
rnacentral:rRNA from 1 species